rnacentral:rRNA from 1 species
GCUGGCGGCGUGCCUAUCAUGCAAGUCGAGCGGAACCUUUGGAGCUUGCUCCAAAAGUUUAGCGGCGGACGGGUGAGUAACACGUGGGCAACCUGCCCUGCAGAUCGGGAUAACUCCGGGAAACCGGUGCUAAUACCGAAUAGUUUGGCGCCUCUCCUGAGGCGCCACGGAAAGACGGUUUCGGCUGUCACUGCAGGAUGGGCCCGCGGCGCAUUAGCUAGUUGGUGGGGUAAUGGCCCACCAAGGCGACGAUGCGUAGCCGACCUGAGAGGGUGAUCGGCCACACUGGGACUGAGACACGGCCCAGACUCCUACGGGAGGCAGCAGUAGGGAAUCUUCCGCAAUGGACGCAAGUCUGACGGAGCAACGCCGCGUGAGUGACGAAGGUUUUCGGAUCGUAAAACUCUGUUGUGAGGGAAGAACAAGUACCAAGUAACUACUGGUACCUUGACGGUACCUCACCAGAAAGCCACGGCUAACUACGUGCCAGCAGCCGCGGUAAU